UACGGGGGGGGCAAGCGUUGUUCGGAAUUACUGGGCGUAAAGGGCUCGUAGGCGGCCAACUAAGUCAGACGUGAAAUCCCUCGGCUCAACCGGGGAGCUGCGUCUGAUACUGGAUGGCUUGAAUUCGGGAGAGGGAUGCGGAAUUCCAGGUGUAGCGGUGAAAUGCGUAGAUAUCUGGAGGAACACCGGUGGCGAAGGCGGCAUCCUGGACCGAGAUUGACGCUGAUGCGCGAAAGCCAGGGGAGCAAACGGG
rnacentral:rRNA from 1 species